AUUGUUUAUCAGGUCAAGAUCUAUCUGCCCUCAAAUUUUCAGAUGAAUCUGACAACCCGUUGUUGGGUUGCUGCCCCUGAAUUGGUAAUUUUAAGGAAAUUUUGCUGUUUUUGGUUAUUAUCUUGAAUAUUAUUAUAGAUAGAGAUAAACUGUAAACAUCAAUAAUGUUAAGCAAAGUAAGAUUUACAAAUAAGUCAACAUGACGGAAAUGGUCAAUUGACCCCUAAGGAGUUAUUGUCCUUUAUAGUCA
rnacentral:lncRNA from 1 species